AAGUCGUACGGAGAGUGGGGCAACUCACUCUCAGUGGCAAACGGGUGAGUAACGCGUGAAUAACCUGCCUUUGAGAAGGGGAUAACUGUCCGAAAGGAUAGCUAAUACCCUAUAUUGCCUUUUGUCACUAAGACAAAAAGUGAAAGCGAGGCUGUCAAAGGCUUCGGCUCAAAGAGGGGUUCGCGUCCUAUCAGGUAGUUGGUGGGGUAAUGGCCUACCAAGCCAAUGACGGGUAGCUGGUCUUAGAGGAUGAUCAGCCACAGUGGGACUGAGACACGGCCCGCACCCCUACGGGGGGCAGCAGUGGGGAAUCGUGGGCAAUGGGCGCAAGCCUGACCCCGCAAUGCCGCGUGAGGGAAGAAGCCCUUCGGGGUGUAAACCUCUGUCAGAUGGGAAGAU
rnacentral:rRNA from 1 species